rnacentral:rRNA from 1 species
GAUGAACGCUAGCGAUAGGCCUAACACAUGCAAGUCGAGGGGCAGCAUAGAGUAGCAAUACUUUGAUGGCGACCGGCGCACGGGUGAGUAACACGUAUGCAACCUACCUACAUCAGGGGAAUAACCCGGAGAAAUUCGGACUAAUACCGCAUAAUACAGGGAUGCCGCAUGGCAAUAUUUGUUAAAGAUUUAUCGGAUGUAGAUGGGCAUGCGUUCCAUUAGCUUGUUGGUGAGGUAACGGCUCACCAAGGCAACGAUGGAUAGGGGAACUGAGAUGUUUGUCCCCCACACUGGAACUGAGGCACGGACCAGACUCCUACGGGAGGCAGCAGUGAGGAAUAGUGGUCAAUGGACGAGAGUCUGAACCAGCCAAAUCGCGUGAAGGAAGACGACCCUACGGGUUGUAAACUUCUUUUGUACAGGAAUAAAAGGCAUUACGUGUAAUGUAUUGCAUGUACUGUACGAAUAAGCAUCGGCUAACUCCGUGCCAGCCGCCGCGUAA